rnacentral:rRNA from 1 species
UACGGAGGGUGCAAGCGUUAUCCGGAAUGAUUGGGCGUAAAGCGUCCGCAGGUGGUUGUGUGUGUCUAUUGUCAAAGCAUCAUGCUUAACAUGAUAAAGGCAGUAGAAACUACACGACUAGAGUGCGUUCGGGGCAGAGGGAAGUCCUGGUGUAGCGGUGAAAUGCGUAGAGAUCAGGAAGAACACCGGUGGCGAAAGCGCUCUGCUGGGCCGCAACUGACACUGAGGGACGAAAGCUAGGGGAGCGAAUGGG